rnacentral:rRNA from 1 species
UACAGAGGGUGCGAGCGUUAAUCGGAAUUACUGGGCGUAAAGCGUGCGUAGACGGUAAUGUAAGUCGGGUGUGAAAGCCCCGGGCUCAACCUGGGAAUUGCAGUGGAUACUGGCAGGCUGGAGUACGGUAGAGGAAGGUGGAAUUCCCGGUGUAGCAGUGAAAUGCGUAGAUAUCGGGAGGAACACCAGUGGCGAAGGCGGCCUUCUGGACCAGUACUGACGCUCAUGCACGAAAGCGUGGGGAGCAAACAGG